rnacentral:rRNA from 1 species
GGUUAAGCGACUAAGCGUACACGGUGGAUGCCCUGGCAGUCAGAGGCGAUGAAGGACGUGCUAAUCUGCGAAAAGCGUCGGUAAGGUGAUAUGAACCGUUAUAACCGGCGAUGUCCGAAUGGGGAAACCCAGUGCAAUUCGUUGCACUAUCGUUAACUGAAUACAUAGGUUAACGAGGCGAACCGGGGGAACUGAAACAUCUAAGUACCCCGAGGAAAAGAAAUCAACCGAGAUUCCCCCAGUAGCGGCGAGCGAACGGGGAGCAGCCCAGAGUCUGAAUCAGCUUGUGUGUUAGUGGAACGGUCUGGAAAGUCCGACGGUACAGGGUGAUAGUCCCGUACACCAAAAUGCACAGGCUGUGAACUCGAAGAGUAGGGCGGGACACGUGGUAUCCUGUCUGAAUAUGGGGGGACCAUCCUCCAAGGCUAAAUACUCCUGACUGACCGAUAGUGAACCAGUACCGUGAGGGAAAGGCGAAAAGAACCCCGGCGAGGGGAGUGAAAAAGAACCUGAAACCGUGUACGUACAAGCAGUGGGAGCACCUUCGGGUGUGACUGCGUACCUUUUGUAUAAUGGGUCAGCGACUUAUAUUCUGUAGCAAGGUUAACCGUAUAGGGGAGCCGCAGGGAAACCGAGUCUUAACUGGGCGUUAAGUUGCAGGGUAUAGACCCGAAACCCGGUGAUCUAGCCAUGGGCAGGUUGAAGGUUGGGUAACACUAACUGGAGGACCGAACCGACUAAUGUUGAAAAAUUAGCGGAUGACUUGUGGCUGGGGGUGAAAGGCCAAUCAAACCGGGAGAUAGCUGGUUCUCCCCGAAAGCUAUUUAGGUAGCGCCUCGUGAAUUCAUCUUCGGGGGUAGAGCACUGUUUCGGCUAGGGGGUCAUCCCGACUUACCAACCCGAUGCAAACUACGAAUACCGAAGAAUGUUAUCACGGGAGACACACGGCGGGUGCUAACGUCCGUCGUGAAGAGGGAAACAACACCGACCGCCAGCUAAGGUCCCAAAGUCAUGGUUAAGUGGGAAACGAUGUGGGAAGGCACAGACAGCCAGGAUGUUGGCUUAGAAGCAGCCAUCAUUUAAAGAAAGCGUAAUAGCUCACUGGUCGAGUCGGCCUGCGCGGAAGAUGUAACGGGGCUAAACCAUGCACCGAAGCUGCGGCAGCGACACUAUGUGUUGUUGGGUAGGGGAGCGUUCUGUAAGCCUGCGAAGGUGACCUGUGAGGGUUGCUGGAGGUAUCAGAAGUGCGAAUGCUGACAUAAGUAACGAUAAAGCGGGUGAAAAGCCCGCUCGCCGGAAGACCAAGGGUUCCUGUCCAACGUUAAUCGGGGCAGGGUGAGUCGACCCCUAAGGCGAGGCCGAAAGGCGUAGUCGAUGGGAAACAGGUUAAUAUUCCUGUACUUGGUGUUACUGCGAAGGGGGGACGGAGAAGGCUAUGUUAGCCGGGCGACGGUUGUCCCGGUUUAAGCAUGUAGGCUGGUUAUCCAGGCAAAUCCGGAUAAUCAAGGCUGAGGUGUGAUGACGAGGCACUACGGUGCUGAAGUAACAAAUGCCCUGCUUCCAGGAAAAGCCUCUAAGCAUCAGGUAACAUCAAAUCGUACCCCAAACCGACACAGGUGGUCAGGUAGAGAAUACCAAGGCGCUUGAGAGAACUCGGGUGAAGGAACUAGGCAAAAUGGUGCCGUAACUUCGGGAGAAGGCACGCUGGUGUGUAGGUGAAGUCCCUGCGGAUGGAGCUGAGACCAGUCGAAGAUACCAGCUGGCUGCAACUGUUUAUUAAAAACACAGCACUGUGCAAACACGAAAGUGGACGUAUACGGUGUGACGCCUGCCCGGUGCCGGAAGGUUAAUUGAUGGGGUUAUCCGUAAGGAGAAGCUCUUGAUCGAAGCCCCGGUAAACGGCGGCCGUAACUAUAACGGUCCUAAGGUAGCGAAAUUCCUUGUCGGGUAAGUUCCGACCUGCACGAAUGGCGUAAUGAUGGCCAGGCUGUCUCCACCCGAGACUCAGUGAAAUUGAACUCGCUGUGAAGAUGCAGUGUACCCGCGGCAAGACGGAAAGACCCCGUGAACCUUUACUAUAGCUUGACACUGAACAUUGAGCCUUGAUGUGUAGGAUAGGUGGGAGGCUUUGAAGCGUGGACGCCAGUCUGCGUGGAGCCAACCUUGAAAUACCACCCUUUAAUGUUUGAUGUUCUAACGUUGGCCCCUGACCGGGGUUGCGGACAGUGUCUGGUGGGUAGUUUGACUGGGGCGGUCUCCUCCCAAAGCGUAACGGAGGAGCACGAAGGUUAGCUAAUCCUGGUCGGACAUCAGGAGGUUAGUGCAAUGGCAUAAGCUAGCUUGACUGCGAGCGUGACGGCGCGAGCAGGUGCGAAAGCAGGUCAUAGUGAUCCGGUGGUUCUGAAUGGAAGGGCCAUCGCUCAACGGAUAAAAGGUACUCCGGGGAUAACAGGCUGAUACCGCCCAAGAGUUCAUAUCGACGGCGGUGUUUGGCACCUCGAUGUCGGCUCAUCACAUCCUGGGGCUGAAGUAGGUCCCAAGGGUAUGGCUGUUCGCCAUUUAAAGUGGUACGCGAGCUGGGUUUAGAACGUCGUGAGACAGUUCGGUCCCUAUCUGCCGUGGGCGCUGGAGAAUUGAGGGGGGCUGCUCCUAGUACGAGAGGACCGGAGUGGACGCAUCACUGGUGUUCGGGUUGUCAUGCCAAUGGCACUGCCCGGUAGCUAAAUGCGGAAGAGAUAAGUGCUGAAAGCAUCUAAGCACGAAACUUGCCCCGAGAUGAGUUCUCCCUGAGACUUUAAGUCUCCUGAAGGAACGUUAAAGACGAUGACGUUGAUAGGCCGGGUGUGUAAGCGCAGCGAUGCGUUGAGCUAACCGGUACUAAUGAACCGUGAGGCUUAACCUU